AGAACGAACGCUGGUGGCAUGCCUAACACAUGCAAGUCGAACGCUUUUGGGGCUUCGGUCCCAAAGGAGUGGCGCACGGGUGAGUAGCGCGUGGGAACCUGCCCUGUUGUGGGGGAUAACCGAGGGAAACUUCGGCUAAUACCGCAUACGCCCGGGGGAAACUCCGGGGAAAGAUUUAUCGCAGCAGGAGGGGCCCGCGUCGGAUUAGGUAGUUGGUGGGGUAACGGCCCACCAAGCCUGUGAUCCGUAGCUGGUCUGAGAGGAUGAUCAGCCACACUGGGACUGAGUCACGGCCCAGACUCCUACGGGAGGCAGCAGUGGGGAAUAUUGGACAAUGGGCGCAAGCCUGAUCCAGCAAUGCCGCGUGGGUGAUGAAGGCCUUCGGGUUGUAAAGCCCUUUCGGCGGGGAAGAUGAUGACGGUACCGCAGAAGAGCCCGGCUAACUCGUGCCAGCAGCCGC
rnacentral:rRNA from 1 species